rnacentral:rRNA from 1 species
AGAGUUUGAUCCUGGCUCAGAGUGAAUGCUGGCGGCGGGUUUAACACAUGCCAGUCGAGUGGCCGCAGCGAUACGGCUGUCGGCAGACGGGAGAGUGCACAUAUCUACCGCGUUCUUCGCUUCGGGAUAACUUAGGGUAACUUGUGCUAAUAUCGGAUACGCCCUUAUGGGGAAAGAUUUAUUGGCGAAGGAUCGGGCCGCGUCCGAUUAGCUUGUUGGUGAGGUAACGGCUCACCAAGGCGACGAUCUGUAGCUGGUCUGAGAGGAUGACCAGCCUCACUGGGACUGAGACACGGCCCAGACUCCUACUGGAGGCAGCAGUGGGGAAUAUUGGACAAUGGGCGCAAGCCUGAUCCACCCAUGCCGCGUGGGUGAUGAAGGCCCUAGGGUUGUAAAGCCCUGUCGGCGGGGAAGAUAAUGACGGUACCCGCAGAAGAAGACCCGGCUAACUUCGUUCCCGCAGCCGCGGUAAUACGAAGGGGUCUAGCGUUGCUCGGAAUUACUGGGCGUAAAGCGCACGUAGGCCGCUUCUUAAGUCGGCGGUGAAAUCCUGGAGCUCUAACUCCAGAACCGCCCUCGAUACUGGGGAGCUCGAGUCCGGCAGAGGUGAGCGGAACUGCGAGUGUAGAGGUGAAAUUGGUAGAUAUUCGCAAGCACCCCAGUGGCGACAGGCGGCUCACUGGCCCGGCACUGACGCUGAGGGGCGAACGCGUGGGGAGCAAACACUAUUAGAUACCCCCGUAGUCC